rnacentral:rRNA from 1 species
AUUGAACGCUGGCGGCAGGCCUAACACAUGCAAGUCGAGCGGAUGAAGGGAGCUUGCUCCUGGAUUCAGCGGCGGACGGGUGAGUAAUGCCUAGGAAUCUGCCUGGUAGUGGGGGAUAACGUCCGGUAACGGGCGCUAAUACCGCAUACGUCCUGAGGGAGAAAGUGGGGGAUCUUCGGACCUCACCCUAUCAGAUGAGCCUAGGUCGGAUUAGCUAGUUGGUGGGGUAAAGGCCCACCAAGGCAACGGUCCGUAACUGGUCUGAGGGGGUGAUCAGUCAACCUGGAACGUGAGCACGGCCCAGACCCCUCCGGGGGGAGCGAGGGGGGAAUUUUGGGAAAGGGGGGAAAACCUGACGCAACACACGCCGGGGGGGGAAAAAGGUCUUGGGGUUGUAAAACCCUUUUAAUUUGGAGAAAGAGAGAGAUAGUUAAAACUUCACUUUUUGACGGUAACUAAACAGAAAGGCACGGCUAACUACGUG